rnacentral:rRNA from 1 species
GACGAACGCUGGCGGCGUGCUUAACACAUGCAAGUCGAGCGGAGCGGCGCACGGGUGAGUAACGCGUGAGUAACUGCCCCCCUCUCUGGGAUAACAGUCGGAAACGGCUGCCAAUACCCGCAAGUGGGGGAUGACUCGAGUCGAUUCAGCUUGUUGGUGGGUUAGUGGCCUACCAUGGCGAGGACGGGUAGCCGUCCUGGGAGGGCGCCCGGCGACAAUGGGCUGAGGUACGGCCCAGACGCCUACGGGAGGCAGCAGGGGGGAAGAUUGCACAAUGAUGAAACCCCUGAGGCAGCAGCGCCGCGUGCGUGAUGACGGCCUUCCGGUUGUAAACCGCUUUCAGCCAUGACGCGGUAGUGGCAGAAGAAGCACCGGCUAACUACGUGCCAGCCGCCGCGGUAAUAC